AAAGUUUUUAAAAAAAGAACACUAGUGCUGACAUGCAUAGAGAAGUAGUUGGCAGACAGCAAACAAAGUGGGGAUUAACGGGUCCCUUUCAGAAUGGCAGGCAGUGACUAGUGGGGUACCCCAAGGCUCGGUGCUGGGACCGCAGCUAUUUACAAUAUACA